AAUUUGAUUUUUUUUUAGAAAGGUGUCUAAAUCGUUAACGACAUAGUGUUCACGUGAGUCAUGAGUGAAUGUGGUGUAAUGUUUUCACUUACGUGACAACUUAAUCAAAGGCUGAUGUGGGAAUGUGGUAUUUCAAAGGGGGUUUUGGUGGUGAAAGGAAUUUGAUGUUGCUAUCAGAAGUUAGAUCACAUUUGCGUUCAAUUUGGGGCACUUGUUCGUUGAAAUCGGAAAUGGAGAGCCUAAGUAAGGUAUGUACUCUUAAUCUGAGGUUGUAUUUGUGUAUUGGGUAUUAGGGUUUUUAUAACGCUUAGUUGGGGUUUUGUUUGUUUUGGAAUUUGGUAUGGUUAUGUUUUGGAGAAAUGUGUAA
rnacentral:lncRNA from 1 species